UGGAGAUGUUAGGGUUAACAACGUUAGCCACACUUUCUUCUCUUCUCAAACACACACAGCCCAGCUUCACGCCUCUCUCUCAUCUCCUCCACCUCUGUUUUCUAAGCAAACUUAGACCGGCGAGAUCUUGUGAGGCGAAAUCGACGGCGGCCACCGAUCUCACCGAACAACUGACAGCCCCUCUCUCUUAUUUUUUAAAUUAGAAAGAAACCCUGGUUUAUAAUAAGAGACAGACUAGUCUAAAUCUAAAUCUAAUACACAGACACAGCCGCAAAGCAAAGCAAAGCAACUCUACUGUGGAGAUUCGGACAUUGUCUUUCCCUGCCGAUAGUCUGCCGCCUCUACCGGUAAUUGUGGCUGCCAAGCUUGCCGGCCUUGCUCUUCCAAUCGAUACUUCCCUACCUCCUAACUUUGCUCCCACACUUCUCUUCUCUAAUGGGUAUUCAUUCUUCUUCUUUUUCGAUAAAGAUUUGUUUUUUCUUCCUAAAGCUUAGAUUUUAUUUAUCUGUUUUUAUUUUUACUUAUAUGGGUCUUUUUAGUUGAAUUGAUGUAUUGGGUUUUGUUUCUCUCUUUUGUCUUUGAUGUAAUUAUAUAUUUCUGCUGCUUCCACGACUUAUAGGGAUUCCACUUCCAUCUAUCUAUGUUCUUUAUUCAAUCAGUGUACCCCUUUUAUGGGUUCUCAAGUUAAAACCCAAAGAUGCUGUCUUUUAUCGAUAUGUAAUGUAAUCACUGUGAGAGAUUUUAGAGAUUCUACAGUACUCAAACUCAACCUCUGCAUUGUAGGCAUAAAUUACAUGGAACAUAUGUGCUUCUUUGCUAUAUUGCUCGUGUUGCUAGCCUUCCCAAUUUCUAUGGACAGAAUGCAUAUGAAUCUGGCCAGAUUGAUGAGUGGCUGGAAUAUGCCCCCGUCUUUUCAUUGGGUCCUGCAUUUGACAAAGUUUAUGUGAUGGUAGUAGUUGGAGCAGCCAAAUUGAAAAGGAAGUUUCAACUACUCAUGACUCUGAGAUAUAACCACUUCAUUCCCAAAUUUUGUUUUCCACUUGCAAGUUGAUGACACCUGAGUUUCUAGCUAACAUCAAGUUGAUAGUAUUUAGCUGGAAGAGCUUGUUUUUCUCUUACUGCCAAUGUAGCUGGAUUGGAAGUGCUUGGUUGGACCAUUUUAGCUUUUGCCCAAAUGGGUCUGAGCUAUUUGUUUGUUGGUUGGUCUCACUGGGAAUUAGAGAGGAAAGGAAUUCUCUGGCAUUUCACCAUACUUGUGGUCAAAUUGAGUUUGUGCUACUAGCACUUUGAGAGUAAAGCAGAAAAAUUUGUAAAGUAUAUCAUGACUUGCAGAUGAGGUGAAACUAAAAGCAGAAGUGCAGAAAAUUGAUUGGAAAUUGUAGCCUUGGCUUCCCUCAAUUAUUAUUUUUAUUUUUUUUUUGUGUAAAAAGUGGCUUUUUUUCCUCUUUUGCCUAACCAGUGGCACUUAGUUCUUGAUUUGUGUACAAGUGCAUGGUAGCAUUGAUGUUUUUCAGCAGAUUAUCUUUGAUGAUGUAAUGAAUGAAAAUGUAAUGAAUGGAAAGUGU